GGGGCUGACUGGAAUCGACAGCAUUGGACGGUUGGUAAGUAAGCAUGCCGAGUCAGGUGUACUCACACUCGUUAAAACUGGUGCAUAACAAUUUUAAGUGGCAACACUAACUAUGCUUUGGCUGCCUAAUUAGGCCCUUUUAAAGGAAACUAAUAACAGUCAAUUCGCCACUAGCUUGAGGCCUAAUACACAGCUAGUCGCACAAACACAACCCCUUAGGAUCGCUGCAAAGGCUUGUUUUCACCGGCGUGGUUAAACUUUUGAAAACUGGAAGUGCGUUCGUCUGCAGUAAAACUUCUCGCACUUUAAGAUUUAGAUUUAUUGCUAAGCAUGUAGAAAGCUUAUUAGCGCAUUGACUGGACGAGGGUUCGAAUCCCUCCAGCUCCACAG
rfam:Saprospira grandis str. Lewin, complete genome.